rnacentral:lncRNA from 1 species
UAAAAGAAAGCUGGUAGUUUCCUCUUCUCCCGCUUCUGUGAUUCUUUGCCAUUUUCUGGAAGAAGUAACAGAGGUCAGACAAGGAGAGGGUGAAUUCUCAAAACCGGGAUUUAUUGUUCCAAUACAGAGCAAUGCAAUGGGUUUGCAGUUGGAAUAUGGCUUAUUGAAGACUGAAUGUAAGAACAGGAGACUUCUAGUCUCCAUCUGUGCCCUGGAUAUCCCACAGCAUUCCUUACCCAAAUCCCACAAGGAGAGAGCUGGUAUUCUAGGAGUGCUGUCCCUCCUAAGCUCACAGGUCUCCCCUUUGGAAACUUGCAUCCCAUCGCCUCCUCCCACUGCUUCUAUGAGGGUGCUUCCCCACCCACAAACUCCAGUCUUCUCACCCUGGAAUUCCUAUACACUGGGUCAUCUAACAGCCUCAAGCCCAAGGCCUGCUCCUCCCACUGACAUCUAACAAGGCCAUCCUCUGCCACAUAUGCGGCUGGAGCAUGGGUUACUCCAUGUGUACUCUGGUUGGUGGUCUAGUACCCAGGAGCUUCAGAGGGUCUGGCUUGUUGACACUGUUGCUCCCCUCAUGGGGCUUGUAUAAUGCCUCAGCUUCUUCAGUCCCUUCUCCAACUCCUCCAUUAGGGACUCCCACAUUCCCCCCACCCCCCCAUCCACCUCUCAGGAGUCUAACUUUUUGAGUUCUUUAUUUAUAUUGGAUAUUAGCUUUCUAUCAGAUGUUAAGAUUGGUAAAGACCUUUUCCCAAUCUGUUUGUUGCCAUUUAUGGAUCUUGUUUACAUAUACAGUCUGUUACUCUAUGUCUUUUUAUUGGGGAGUUGAGUCAAUUGAUGUUAAGAGAUAUUAAGGAAUAGUGAUCUUGCCUCUUGUUUUUUUUCUUUUAUGUUAUUUUUAUGUUUGUGUGGCUAUCUUCUAUUGGGUUUGUUGAAAGAAGACUACUUUCUUGCUUUUUCUAGGGUGUAGUUUCUCUCCUUGUGUUGGAGUUUUCCAUCUAUUAUACUUUGAAGGCUGGAUUUGUGGAAAGAUAUUGUGUAAAUUUGUCUUUUUUAUGGAAUACCUUGGUUUCUCCACCUAUAGUAAUUGAGAGUUUUGCUAGGUAUAGUAGCCUGGGAUGGCAUUUGUGAUCUCACUGGGUCUGUACAACAUCUGCCCAGGAUCUUUUAGCUUUCAUAGUCUGGUGAGAAGUUUGGUGUAAUUCUGAUCUGCCUUUAUAUGUUACUUGACCUUUUUCCCUUACUGCUUUUAAUAUUCUUUCUUUGAUUAUUAUAUGAUGGGAGGAAUUUCUUUUCUGGUCCAGUCUAUUUGGAGUUCUGUAUGCCUCUUGUAUGCUUAUAGGCAUCUCUUUCUUUAGGUUAGGGAAGUUUUCUUCUAUAAUUAAGAUAUUUACUGGCUCUUUAAGUUGGGAUCUUCACUCUUUUCUAUACCUAUUAUCCUUAGGUUUAGUCUUCUCAUUGUGUCCUGGAUUUCCUGGAUGUUUUGGGUUAGGAGCUUUUUGCAUUUUGCAUUUUCUUUGACUGUUGUGUCAAUGUUUUCUCUGGUGUCUUCUGCACCUGAGAUUCUCUCUUCUAUCUCUUGUAUUCUGUUGGUGAUGCUUGCAUCUAUGACUCCUGAUCUCUUUCCUAGGUUUCUAUCUCCAGGGUUGUCUCCCUUUGUGAUUUCUUUAUUGAUUCUAUUUCCACUUUUAGAUCCUGGAUGGCUUUGUUCAAUUCCUUCACCUGUUUGGUUUUGUUUUCCUGUAAUUCUUUAAGGGAUUUUUGUUUUCCCUCCUUAACGGACUUCUAGCUGUUUAUCUGUGUUCUGUAUUUCAUUAAGGGAAUUUUUAUGUCCUUCUUAAUGUCCUCUAUCAUCAUCAUGAGAUGUGAUUUUAAAUUAGAGUCUUUGUGUGUGUGUGUGUGUGUGUGUGUGUGUGUGUGUGUGUGUGUUGGCAUAUCCGGGGCUUGCUGUGGUGGGAGAACUGAGUUCUGAUAAUACCAAUUAGCUUUGGUUUCUGUUGCUUAUGUUUUUGCCCUUGUCUGUUGCCUGCAAUCUGGGUCUCUCUGGUGUUACUGUCUCUGACUGUGGCUUGUCCCUCCUGAAAGUCUGUGUGUCAGUACUCCCGGGACACCAGUUCUUUCUUGGAUGAAUUUGGGUAUGGAUUGCUGUGGAGCAGGGUCAGCUCUGGGGCACACACAGAAACUUGAAAGAUCCUGUCUUGGGCUGUUCCUUGGUUCCUGUGUCCUGAUGACUCUGGGCUGGUCUCUCUUGGGCCAGGAAUUUGACCAGAAGUGGUGGUCUUACCUGUGCUCACAGGUGUGCUAGCACUCCUGGGAGACCAGUUCUCUCUCAGCUGUAUUUUGGUGUGGAUCACUGUGGCUCAGGAUCAGCUCUGGGUUGGGAAUAUUUCUUUUUAUGUCAACAUAAUUCUUUGUGGUUACUGCCUGACUGAAUGCACUUGAGAGCUAGUGUAUUUUAGAUACUGAUAAACUGAUAAUACUUUUGAAUAUUGUUGAAACUCUAUAAGACACCCAAUAAUACAUUAACUUCUUUUACCUGGACUGUCUACUUGAACUCUGUAGAAAUUGCUGAUUUUUCAGCAUUGAUGCUUGUGUUGUCACUUUAUCUUCGUGAGACUGCCUUAUGGUAUCAAAUAAAAGCUGUGAACCAGAUGGUCUUGGAGACUCCUUGCAGCUUUAACAUCACCCUUUUACACUGAGCAAAUAUCAGAACUGACUUUAACUUAAUCUUCCAGAGCAGUUAUAAUGUUGGUUUUAAUGUAUUAACAUAAAUGAUUAAGAUAACUCUUUUUUUUUUUUUUUGGUUUUUCAAGACAGGGUUUCUCUGUGUAGCCCUGGCUGUCCUGGAACUCACUCUGUAGCAAGGCUGGCUUCGAACUCAGAAAUCCACCUGCCUCUGUAAGAUAACUCUUGAAACAACUAUUUCUAUGUUCUCUGGUCUGGUCUUUCUAUCUGAAGUCCACUGGGCAUGCUCCUGCUGCUAUAGUUUUGUCAUAAAAAUAUUUGUUAUGAAGCACUUGGUGUUAUGCUACACUUGAGUUCAGGUGAAAACUUAUUAUCUUUUUUAUGCUCAGCAGCUUAUAUAAUCCAAGUUUUAAUGUCCUUAUUUUCAGAAAGUGGAUGUCAGGAACAGUUCCCUAUUAGCUUGCUGUGAGGAUUCAAUUUAUUAAUCUGGGAAAGUGUACAGAAGAUAUAUAUAUACACACACAUAUGUAUAUAUCUUAAAAAUGAAGUAGAAAUCAGCUGCGGAAAUGUGGACAACACAAAACCAAACUGUCCUGACACAUUUCUUCAGAAGUUCUGGCUAUACCUUUCUCCCAGGUGAGGAUGGACUCUUUCCAACACUUCAGGCUUGGGAAAUUGGGAUUUCCCUAUUCCUCUUAGAGAGAAUGGAGGUAAAAAGGCAUGUCUGUUUGAUGAGUCAUCUACAGGUGAGUUAUGCUAAAAGGGGGACAGAAGGCUUAGAUGGAGCUAUACAGCACAACUUUCCCCUUCAGCUCAGUGAAUUUUCAAUAGACUGGUAUGCUAGUCAUAUUCUUAUCACUGUGACAAAAUACUGAGAAGAUGAAUGGAAAGGCAGAAAGGUUGGUGUUAGUUCACAGUGUUAAAGGCUCCAGUCCUUUCUAUGUCCUUUCUAUGGUUCUGUCCUUGACUUCUAUUGUCUCUGAACCAGUGGUAAGGCAAAGUCAUCAUUAUGUGAGCACAUGGCAGAUGUGAGCUGCUCACCUAAGGGUGUCCAGGAAGGAGAGAGAGAGAGAGAGAGAGAGAGAGAGAGAGAGAGAGAGAGAGAGAGAGAGAGUUGGUGGUGGUGGUGGUUGGGGAAGGACAGCAUGCACUCUCUGACUUACUUCCUCUGACUAAUAGCACUUGAGCUCUUCACACACACACACACACACACACACACACACACACACAUGCACACACCACAUGAAUUAUCACUGCUCAGUAGCACCAUGAUUUGAAAAUUAACUUUUCAGUAUAUGAACUUCAAGGGGACAUUUUCUAUUAUUAAACCAUAAUAAUUGAUUAUUUAUUUGCAUUGUAAGCUAGUCACAACAAUCAGAUCAUGGGUGGUAUUGCUACCAGGGAUGGAAAUAAAGUUUUCUUCUUUAAUAUUUGGGAUUG